GACGAACGCUGGCGGCGUGCUUAACACAUGCAAGUCGAACGGAAAGGCCCUGCUUUUGUGGGGUGCUCGAGUGGCGAACGGGUGAGUAACACGUGAGUAACCUGCCCUUGACUUUGGGAUAACUUCAGGAAACUGGGGCUAAUACCGGAUAGGAGCUCCUGCUGCAUGGUGGGGGUUGGAAAGUUUCGGCGGUUGGGGAUGGACUCGCGGCUUAUCAGCUUGUUGGUGGGGUAGUGGCUUACCAAGGCUUUGACGGGUAGCCGGCCUGAGAGGGUGACCGGCCACAUUGGGACUGAUAUACGGCCCAGACUCCUACGGGAGGCAGCAGUGGGGAAUAUUGCACAAUGGGCGGAAGCCUGAUGCAGCAACGCCGCGUGCGGGAUGACGGCCUUCGGGUUGUAAACCGCUUUCGCCUGUGACGAAGCGUGAGUUACGGUAAUGGGUAAAGAAGCACCGGCUAACUACGUG
rnacentral:rRNA from 1 species